GCCCCGGUAGCUCAGUGGCAGAGCGGCCGCCUUGUAAGCGGCAGGUCGCGGGUUCGACCCCCGCCCGGGGCU
rnacentral:tRNA from 1 species